rnacentral:rRNA from 2 species
CUUGAGUGCAGAAGAGGACAGUGGAACUCCAUGUGUAGCGGUGAAAUGCGUAGAUAUAUGGAAGAACACCAGUGGCGAAGGCGGCUGUCUGGUCUGUAACUGACGCUGAGGCUCGAAAGUAUGGGUAGCAAACAGGAUUAGAUACCCUGGUAGUCCAUACCGUAAACGAUGAAUGCUAAGUGUUGGAGGGUUUCCGCCCUUCAGUGCUGCAGCUAACGCAUUAAGCAUUCCGCCUGGGGAGUACGGCCGCAAGGCUGAAACUCAAAGGAAUUGACGGGGGCCCGCACAAGCGGUGGAGCAUGUGGUUUAAUUCGAAGCUACGCGAAGAACCUUACCAGGUCUUGACAUACUAUGCAAAUCUAAGAGAUUAGACGUUCCCUUCGGGGACAUGGAUACAGGUGGUGCAUGGUUGUCGUCAGCUCGUGUCGUGAGAUGUUGGGUUAAGUCCCGCAACGAGCGCAACCCUUAUUAUCAGUUGCCAGCAUUAAGUUGGGCACUCUGGUGAGACUGCCGGUGACAAACCGGAGGAAGGUGGGGAUGACGUCAAAUCAUCAUGCCCCUUAUGACCUGGGCUACACACGUGCUACAAUGGAUGGUACAACGAGUUGCGAACUCGCGAGAGUAAGCUAAUCUCUUAAAGCCAUUCUCAGUUCGGAUUGUAGGCUGCAACUC